rnacentral:lncRNA from 1 species
CAUCUGUAUGUUGGGGGAAGGCAAGACAAGGAGAGGGUGGUUCAUUAUGUUUUUACAUAGCCCUUUCUUUCAAAAAUCCUCUUGUCAUUUAACAGUUGACUGAGUUGUUGACCUUUUUAUUUUCCAAAUUGCAGCUUUGUGUUUCCUUUUUAAUUGCAAAGAUUUAGAAUGAGAGCUACAGCACAGGUACGAAUCCUGAAGCAGGAAGAAAAAACAUCCAAAACUUGACCAAGCAAAUAAGCAUUUUUCCUGCAAAAGAAAUGAUUAUCCAAAAACAAAACAAAACAAAACAAAACCCCAAAAACAACCACAACAACAAAAACCCACCAAAACUACUGGUCAUUUUGGAUGAAAAAUCUGAUUACUUGGUGAACUUUUAAAAAAUGUGGUCAACGAAUUAUGUGUAUAUCAUCUGGGCCAAGGUUUUCUAGUCCUGUGUUCUACUAGGUACUUCUAAAUGGCUAACUUUUGAAAAAAAACCUUAUAGUGAAAUUUGAUUUUAUUUGUGCAUGCACAUCCAUGGAACAGGAGAUUUUUUAAAACUAUAAUCUUUCCUACAAAUGUGAGGACAAAAGAUAAAGAGAAGAAAGAGAGAAAGGGAAUCUGAAAAAAAAAAUAAAAGAGAAAAGUUUAGAAUGGAUAGAAGAUCACUUUUUCUCUGCUUGGCCCCACAGACCAUUAAGACUGGUUUGGGUUUUUGGCAAAUAGAUUGGAUGUCUUAUGUCUGCAGUACAUUCUCCAGAGGGAUUAAGGAGUUACUUCUGUGACCCAGCUAGGACCGAAGUAAAACAGAUCUUGUUUCUUUGCAAAAUGAUAGUACAAGGAAAAGAGCACGAAGCCAUCAGUCCUGAGGAAUUGAAGACUCAGGUUUUCCUAGAAGAGAAUCCAGGGAGUUAAACUCAACCCAAAAUAAGUUUCUCUGCUGUUCACAGUCCUAAGUUUUGUUGGCAGUUCUUAACUCUUGGCACCAUUCACAGUUUCAUCAGUGGUGAGACUCUCAUUGUUACCCUCUCAACGCCUUCUCUGAAUGCAACGUAUGGAACGUUCCUGCUGCCUUCUAGCAGCUGCUGUCACGCUCUCCAGGAAGUCUUCCAAGUUCUUCAGAACUCUACCAAAGAACUAGACCUAAGAAUGGAAAACUAUCGGCACCUCCUAGAUGCUCUUGAGCUCUUUAAUGCCAGAAGCCUGAGGUUUAACCCACCAGUUCUCAGAACUACCCUAGGGCUAUGGAAUAUCCACACUCACUCAUUCAAGGGCAGAAAAGAUUUAAACGGCAAGAUUUCUGAUUCCUAAUGGUAACUAUGAAACCCAGAAAACCUAUUUCUCAAAGAGUGGAGAUGAUAGAAUAGAAUGUUGGCUACAAAGUACAAGAGAAAUAUUGAACUGAAGAUGAAAAUUUGAGAUUAUAAAUUUUUGAAUUAUUUAUAAAGUCAAGAAAUCCAUCUCUCUCAACCUACAAGUAGGUAUUUAUUUAUUUAUUUAUUUAUUUGUCUUUUGUCUUUUUAGGACUGCACCAUGGCACAUGGAGGUUCCCAGGCUAGGGGUCCAAUCGGAGCUAUAGCUGCCGGCCUACGCCACAGCCAUAGCAGUGCCAGAUCUGAGCCACAUCUGCCACCUACACCACAGCCCACCACAAUGCUGGAUCCUUAACCCACUGAGCAAGGGCAGGAAUCGAACCCACAACCUCACAGUUCCUAGUUGAAUUCGUUUCCACUGCGCCAUGACAGAAAUUCCAGUCUGCAAGUAGGUUUAGAAUAAGAAUGAUCAGGACCCCAGAGAACCUUGGUGUUUAUUGUGUAGGUAAAUAUCCUCUGAAUUAACCCUACCUUAAAUGAAUGCCAACAUUUCAUGAGUAUUUAGAAUCCCUGAUUCUCUUAUCUGUAGGGCCAAAUGCCUUAAAAUUUCUAGGUGAAAAUUUUACUUAGACACUAAUUCUGCUGCAUUUUACUAUGAUCAAAGCAAAAUUGUGAGAUCUCAAAAAUUUCACACUUGCUCACUCAUUUAUAAAGCUUGUUAGAAAACCAGAGGUAGUUUUAUUUUUGCAUUACUCGUCUGCUUUUUAAAAUUCUUAAUCUUUGACUGAUUUUGAUUUGUUCUAAAUGACCUGCAAAACACCUGCAAAACUUGAGCAGCUGCAUACCUGCCUAGGAUGGAGUUGGGUAUAACAAUGAAUGACCUUCCAUUAGAUCCCCGUGGCUAGUUCUGCUUUUGAAAAUGAAUCCCCACACAGAAUGCGUUUCACCGAAUUCAUCUGACCAAGUAGAGAAUUACACAAAGUUGUAGAUGAAAGAGUUUAUCAAAGUUAACUUGAAAAUUUUAAAAUCACUGAGGCGAAGCAAAGAACAAUAAACAAAAGAGCACAUUUUAUACA